rnacentral:ncRNA from 1 species
GUAAAAGCGUUGAAGGAGAAGAGUGUUUACAGCGGUUCUCUUCAGAGAGCGAUGGAUGGUGUGAUCAUCGCGAGGAUGGUAGAUGGCUUAUCACUCCCGAGCUGCAGCUUUGAACGGGGAAGUAUCUUUUUCACAGGAUACCGGUCUCAGUAAAGGCUGACGUAGGUCCCACGUUACAGGGAUAAGGAUUGUUAGAUCCAUGAGUGCAGGACCUGGUCCUGAAGUCGGGUGGUACCGCGUGAUAUGAUUUUGCGUCCCGGGA